rnacentral:misc_RNA from 1 species
UACGUAGGUGGCAAGCGUUGUUCGGAAUUACUGGGCGUAAAGCGCGCGUAGGCGGGCUAUUAAGUCAGGGGUGAAAUCCCGGGGCUCAACCUCGGAAUUGCCUUUGAUACUGGUAGUCUAGAGUCCGAGAGGGGUGAGUGGAACUCCGAGUGUAGAGGUGAAAUUCGUAGAUAUUAGGAAGAACACCAGUGGCGAAGGCGGCUCACUGGCUCGGUACUGACGCUGAGGCGCGAAAGCGUGGGGAGCAAACAGG